GCUGGGAUGGCUCAAUCGGCAGAGCAUGAGUCUCUUAAUCUCAGGGUCGUGGGUUUGAGCCCCGUGUUGGGCA